AGCGGCGGACGGGUGAGUAACGCGUGGGUAACCUGCCUCAUACAGGGGGAUAACAGUUAGAAAUGACUGCUAAUACCGCAUAAGACCACGGUACCGCAUGGUACAGUGGUAAAAACUCCGGUGGUAUGAGAUGGACCCGCGUCUGAUUAGCUAGUUGGUGGGGUAACGGCCCACCAAGGCGACGAUCAGUAGCCGACCUGAGAGGGUGACCGGCCACAUUGGGACUGAGACACGGCCCAG
rnacentral:rRNA from 1 species